CCGGCGCACGGGUGAGUAACGCGUAUGCAACCUGCCCGUUUCAGCGGGAUAACCCGGAGAAAUCCGGCCUAAUACCGCAUGUGGCCGAGGGGAGGCAUCUUCUUUCGGCCAAAGGAGGCAACUCCGGAGACGGAUGGGCAUGCGUGACAUUAGCUUGUUGGCGGGGUAACGGCCCACCAAGGCGACGAUGUCUAGGGGUUCUGAGAGGAAGGUCCCCCACACUGGUACUGAGACACGGACCAGACUCCUACGGGAGGCAGCAG
rnacentral:rRNA from 1 species